rnacentral:rRNA from 1 species
AUCGAACGCUGGCGGCGUGGCUAAAACACGCAAGUCGGACGCGAAAGUUCCCUUCGGGCGGCGAGUAGAGUGGCGUAAGGGCGAGUAAUGCAUGGGUAACGUACCCCGGACACCGGGAUAGCUGCGGGAAAAUGCAGGUAAUACCGGAUGAGACCACAGUGUCACAGGGCACGGCGGUCAAAGGCCGGGGAUCCCUUCGGGGACCUGUGGGUUUCGGAGCGGCCCAUGUCUCAUCGGCUAGAUGGUAGGGUAACGGCGUACCAAGGCUACGUCGAGUACCGGGGCUAAGAGGUCGACCCGGCGCAUUGGGACUGAGACACUGCCCAGACUCCUACGGGAGGCUGCAGUAACGAAUAUUCCGCAAUGGGCGAAAGCCUGACGGAGCGACGCCGCGUGUGGGAGUAAGCUCUUCGGAGUGUAAACCACUGUCAGGGAUUACCAAGCAAAGGCGGCUAAUAUCUGCCGGCGCUGAGGAGCCCCGAAGGAAGCCACGGCUAACUUCGUGCCAGCAGCCGCGGUAAUACGAAGGUGGCAAGCGUUGUUCGGAAUCACUGGGCUUAAAGAGUACGUAGGCGGACUGGUAUGCGUCUUGUGAAAUCCCUCGGCUCAACCGAGGAAUUGCUGGGCGAACUGCCGGUCUUGAGGCAGGUAGGGGCGUGUGGAACUCUUGGUGGACCCAUGAAAUGCGUAGAUAUCAAGGGGAACGCCGGUGGCGAAAGCGACACGCUGGGCCUGUCCUGACGCUGAGGUACGAAAGCUAGGGUAGCGAACGGGAUUAGAUACCCCGGUAGUCCUAGCCGUAAACGAUGUCCACUAGGUUGAGGAUCUUUUGACGGAUUCUCAGUCGAAGCUAAAGCGUUAAGUGGACCGCCUGGGGAGUACGGUCGCAAGGCUAAAACUCAAAGGAAUUGACGGG